rnacentral:lncRNA from 1 species
GUUCUCUCCCUGUCUGCAUGGGUUUCACUCCAGGUACUUCAGUUUCCUCCCACAUCAAAGCUACGCAAGUUAAGUGAACCAGCACAUUUAAAUGGUCCCAGUCUGCGCGAGUGUGAGUACACCCUGCGAUACGAUGGCAUCCUGUCUAGGGCUGGUUCCUGCCUCGUUCCGCCAGUUGCUGAGAUACGCUCCCACUACCCAGGAGCCUGAAAUAAAACAACUGGAUAUUUCUGCAAAAUAAAAAAGCUCAAUGGAUUAUAGAAUGACAGCUACUUUCAAAAGAAACUUAUCUCAUUUUCAAGGCGCUACAUACUUCACACAUGACACACUUCAAAGCCGGUCAACAAUCAUUAUCAGAUAUUGACUCAGCGUGCACACACCUUACUGUACCACUCUCCACUUCUGACAAGCGGCGCCUUCAAUUAACUAACCACAAAUCAUUUUAACACUGUAUAUUACAUCUCAGAGGUAAAAAAGAGAAAAUAAAGCUUUUGGUGAUUAUGUGGGGGGGUUUUUUUUCCUGUUUUUUUUUUUUAAAGUCACAAGACCAAGUAAAAGACCAUCUAAACCAGAGGCACCCAAAAGAAGUAUCCUUUACAAUGGAAAUGUUCUAUAGCUGGGCUUUCUAAUAUCAUAGCUACUAGUCUCAUGACUUUGUUAGCAUUAAAUUAAUUAAAAUUAAAUUAGCUUAAAAUUUUAGUUCCUCAUUCUCAGUAGCCACAUUUCAAAUCCUCAAUAGCUGCAUAUGAUAAAUAAUUGAGGUUCAAACCCUAUUAAGAGUCCCACAUACAUACCUCAUUUAAAAUGCUAUUAAUAAUAGUGUAGAUAAACCCAAUGCCAGCAACUGCCACAAGACAUAGUAGAAACAAGUAGGCAUCUCUGUAGAGUUUAAAAUCAGUUGGUUUGGGAUACAAUAUGGAACGAACAAGCUGUCCUUUGGAAGUACUAAAUCCUUUCAAAAAAAGAAGACAAUUAUUGAUAUUUUUAUAAGAAAAUGAGAAUUAUCUCCCAAAACAGAAUCUCUCUUUUUUUUUUUUUGAGACAGAGUCUCGCUCUGUCACCCAGGCUGGAGUACAGUGGUGUGAUCUCGACUCACUGCAAGCUCCGCCUCCUGGGUUCACGCCAUUCUCCUGCCUCAGCCUCCCGAGUAGCUGGGACUGCAGGCGCCCGCCACCAGGCCCGGCUAAUUUUUUUGUAAUUUUGGUAGAGACGGGGUUUCACCAUGUUAGCCAGGAUGGUCUCAAUCUCCUGACCUCAUGAUCCGCCCACCUCGGCUUCCCAAAGUGCUGGGAUUACAGGCGUUAGCCACAGCACCCAGCCCAGAAUCUCUUUUUAAACAUUUA